CAAACUGGGUUAACUAACUAUGGCUCAGUAUAAACUCCUUUAAUUUCUGGAACGUCCUUCCAAGGAUAAUCAGAAGCUAAGACUUUUAAAAGUAAAGUUCAACGACUAUCGAAACCGACUUAUCAGAUCGUUGUGAUAACGCUAGAUAGGGAUAAGGGAGUAGAGUAGAAUACAAGCUAUAGGUAUUCAAAAAGGGGAGCGCCGUAUUUAGGUGAAGAUAUAGUCUCAUCUCUAUGGUAACAUAGAG
rnacentral:ncRNA from 1 species